GACGAACGCUGGCGGCGUGCUUAACACAUGCAAGUCGAACGGAAAGGCCCUGCUUUUGUGGGGUGCUCGAGUGGCGAACGGGUGAGUAACACGUGAGUAACCUGCCCUUGACUUUGGGAUAACUUCAGGAAACUGGGGCUAAUACCGGAUAGGAGCUCCUGCUGCAUGGUGGGGGUUGGAAAGUUUCGGCGGUUGGGGAUGGACUCGCGGCUUAUCAGCUUGUUGGUGGGGUAGUGGCUUACCAAGGCUUUGACGGGUAGCCGGCCUGAGAGGGUGACCGGCCACAUUGGGACUGAGAUACGGCCCAGACUCCUACGGGAGGCAGCAGUGGGGAAUAUUGCACAAUGGGCGGAAGCCUGAUGCAGCAACGCCGCGUGCGGGAUGACGGCCUUCGGGUUGUAAACCGCUUUCGCCUGUGACGAAGCGUGAGUGACGGUAAUGGGUAAAGAAGCACCGGCUAACUACGUGCCAGCAGCCGCGGUGAUACGUAGGGUGCGAGCGUUGUCCGGAUUUAUUGGGCGUAAAGGGCUCGUAGGUGGUUGAUCGCGUCGGAAGUGUAAUCUUGGGGCUUAACCCUGAGCGUGCUUUCGAUACGGGUUGACUUGAGGAAGGUAGGGGAGAAUGGAAUUCCUGGUGGAGCGGUGGAAUGCGCAGAUAUCAGGAGGAACACCAGUGGCGAAGGCGGUUCUCUGGGCCUUUCCUGACGCUGAGGAGCGAAAGCGUGGGGAGCGAACAGGCUUAGAUACCCUGGUAGUCCACGCUGUAAACGGUGGAUACUAGGUGUGGGGUCCAUUCCACGGGUUCCGUGCCGUAGCUAACGCUUUAAGUACCCCGCCUGGGGAGUACGGCCGCAAGGCUAAAACUCAAAGGAAUUGACGGGGCCCCGCACAAGCGGCGGAGCAUGCGGAUUAAUUCGAUGCAACGCGUAGAACCUUACCUGGGUUUGACAUGGAUCGGGAGUGCUCAGAGAUGGGUGUGCCUCUUUUGGGGUCGGUUCACAGGUGGUGCAUGGCUGUCGUCAGCUCGUGUCGUGAGAUGCUGGGUUAAGUCCCGCAACGAGCGCAACCCUUGUUCACUGUUGCCAGCACGUUAUGGUGGGGACUCAGUGGAGACCGCCGGGGUCAACUCGGAGGAAGGUGGGGAUGACGUCAAGUCAUCAUGCCCCUCAUGUCCAGGGCUUCACGCAUGCUACAAUGGCUGGUACAGAGAGUGGCGAGCCUGUGAGGGUGAGCGAAUCUCGGAAAGCCGGUCUCAGUUCGGAUUGGGGUCUGCAACUCGACCUCAUGAAGUCGGAGUCGCUAGUAAUCGCAGAUCAGCAACGCUGCGGUGAAUACGUUCCCGGGGCU
rnacentral:rRNA from 1 species